CACACACAGACUCACCUCACCCAGGUUUUCAGUGGAAGUAUGAGUCAUGUGAUCAGUGACGUGUUGCAGCAGGUGUGAGCAGAAAGAAAAGAGUGACUUCAGGUUUGACUUCAUGAAGACAGAGGCUGGUUUUAGGACAGCAGAGGGCGUCACAGUCACGAACAUGGGAGCUGAAACUAACACAUGACUUCUGGAGAAGAUAUCAGAGUUCAGGUACAGAUGAUCAGCUGACACACCGUUUGUUUGCUCAGUAAUGUGUGUGUGGCUCAGGUGUAGAUGUCGGGCCUCCUGCUCUUUGUAUCAGCUGCUGUCAUUACAAAAUGCUCAAGUUACCAAAAAACUAUGUUCAGAUAUGUAAAUCUAUUUAUUAAAAAAAAAAGAAAAAACAUGUUUCCAAAUCAUCAAGUUGACCGUCUCUCAGUCAGAAACACAGACCCUCACUGUGACACACCUGUUACAGGUAGUGCUGCACUGAAGUAGACCACCAUGAUUCACAUUCAACUGAUUCUGAUGGAUCGAUUUUAUAUUCAGUGAUUUAUAUUUAAUGUUUAAGUUCUAAUAAUGACGUCACAGAGACAAAAAGUCUGCAUAUCAAAAUAAGAGCCUGCAGCUGGCAGUGAGUCUGCUUUCUUUACUUUCAGCAGUGAAGUGAUUUACUCCCUGACAGAACAUUAGACAUUUAUUAUUGUACACAAACACAUUUUAUUUCUUACAUUUGCAGCAGACAACUAUCAUAAAUAUGCAGCAUGUAAUCAAACAAGUCAGCUGUCAGAUGUUGUUCCUUUCCGCCCCCUUUAUGUGACAUCAACAGUCUGAAGUCUGGAGUCAGCUGAGGACAGGAACAAUCCCUGUAAUCAUCUAAUAAAGCUCCUUUGAGAUGAGCAGCUGAACUCUGAUCUGUUGAAGUCUUCUGACAGCAGACUUUGUUUGUCAGAGUUUCAUCAGACAAAGAGAUUCAGUCAGUUCUGUGUUUCAGAUAACAUCAUUCUUCUUCUGUGUGAAACAAACACCACACACACACUCAGACACACACAUCUGCAGCAGUAAUGAACGACAGCUGACAAAGACUUCAGUUCAUUGGUUGAGUGUUGGAGCCAGGAGGAGUCGUCCACCACAGGCUGAAGUGGCUGAAACUGUUCACACUCACUGCUGGAAGUAAAACGAGCAGCAACACGUUUCAUCGUCCAUGGAUCCAUUUUAAACUCUUCAAACUCUCAGCUUUAAUAUUUCUGAGCGACAUACUGCUGAACAAACAUCAUCAGUUCUCCAUAAAACUAACCAAUCAUCCUCUCUGAGUGUGUUUGUCCUGCUGAGAUUCCUCCUGUCAUCUUUCACACUGACACACAAACUGAAGCAGCUCAGCACACUUCAGUCAAACAGCAGCAGGUGGCGCUAAUGUCUCUGACAGGUUUCACUUCCUGUGGCUGCUGGAUGAAAACAGACACCUGGUGCAGAACAGCAGCAGCAGCAUGAACAGUUAACGCUCCAACUGUCAGAAUAAAGAAAUGACAGUAAAUAAAAGGUGGAGCUGUUUCUCUGUCAGACGCUUCCACCUCAUCAGCAGCCGUCACCUCUGGCAGCAGAAGAUCAAGUUCCUGUUCUCAAUCCUGCUGACAAAGUCCUGAGAAGAAACAGCCGUCAGCAGGUGUGGAACAUGUUCUCUCCUCACAGACUCAGGCCUUGUUACACACACACGAGGAUUUCUUUACAUUCAGCUGUGAUCUCCAUUCAUGAAGCUGUCAGGGAGGUAAACUGUCUCUAGAAAGCUGUUUUAAAGAGGAUUUAUCUGCUCUGUUGUCUCUCUGCUGUCCUGACAGCUGCUGGAAAAUACACAUCAUCUCAGAAUCAGACCAGAAAUUAAAACCACUUUUAUUUCUUUGAUCCCUGUUUGAAGACAGAAACAUCAGAAACAGUCACAACACACAGUUUGACAGUUUUCAUGUUUUAUUCAAACGUUUGUAUAGAAAUGAUGAAGCGCUGCCUGAAAUGACCUGAUCAAGCUGAGAUAAGAUCAGAAUAAACUAAGAAUAAUACAAACAGCUGCAGAAUAAGACACAACAGUUCAACAGCCUCCAAACUGAUUCAUUAAGUCGAAUCUUUGACAACAAAUUGAACAUUAAAACCUUAUAAUUAUAAUAAACUGGACACUGAGUGUAGAGUUCAGUUAGUAACUGACUCUGGAUCAGCACCUCAACAAAUACAAAGAAGCA